UACGGAGGGUGCAAGCAUUAAUCGGAUUUAUUGGGCGUAAAGGGCGCGUAGGCGGACUAUCAAGUCAGAUGUGAAAUACCAAAGCUCAACUUUGGUGCCGCAUUUGAAACUGGUAGACUUGAGGGUUGACGGAGAAAAUGGAAUUCCACGUGUAGCGGUGAAAUGCGUAGAUAUGUGGAAGAACACCUGUGGCGAAAGCGAUUUUCUAGUUAAUACCUGACGCUGAGGCGCGAGAGCAAGGGGAGCAAACAGG
rnacentral:rRNA from 1 species